CCCAACCGGACCCUGCAUGCUAUUUAUCAGGCCAAGAUUUCAUAAAUCAGAGAAGAGUUACAGUGCAAUUAAAUGUAUCAACGAAGUAAUAUGACAUAAAGCACACUUUGCAAAUAUUAAAUCUCUCCUUAAGGAAUCAAUGUUUUCCGUGAAUAAACUGGUAUUUGGAGAGAGGAGGAGAGGAGGAGGGAGGAGAGAGGAGAGAGGAGAGAGGAGAGAGGAGAGAGAGAGAGAGAGAGAGAGAGAGAGAGAGAGAGAGAGAGAGAGAGAGAGCGCGCGACCCAAGGGGUGAGGACUGGGCAGACCACAGAUCUGAGCAUCAGCUCCCUUGGGUGGGUGCCCUGCAGCACUGAAGUGGUGAAGUCGGAGAGCAGAGGAAACCCACCAAGGCGAAGUGACUCCGGAGUUGUGGUAGAGGUCUGCUUGCUGUGCACUUGGAACCUCCAGCAGAAAGAAGUCUUGGAGAAGAGAAAGAGAAGAAAAUUACCAUAAAAAAUUGGACAUGAGAGCGUAGAAGUCUAUUAAGACAGAGCUUGGAAGUGGCAUUAGGUAGGAGAUAUCAGCUUUGGAGUUUGCUAUUUCUCUUUAUCAAAGUAAAAGGACUUUGUCUUGAUUGAAUGACUUCCACAGAGGGGCCUGGGUGGUUUAUGCAGUAGAGUAGAUGAUGACAGAUAACACUCUCUGGUCAAAGCCUUUGGGAAGAUUGUGCGUACAAAGAUUUUUCCAG
rnacentral:lncRNA from 13 species